CGGGGGGGUAUGGGAAGGAUCAUUUUGACUCUCGGAACCUCAACCCAACGCGUGCAAAAAAGGAUUCCAAAACACGACCCGUAUAGACAUAAAGAUCCAGUUUGAAAGAGCUUGGACAACGUAAGAUGGAUCCUUGACGCUAUUAAGGAGGGGUGACCAUAUGAGCCUCCAAACCGAUCAGCCCAAUAAGCCAUGAAAGGAGAAAAAACAUGGGCCUUUCGAGGAAGACGAUUUAAGCCCAUGGCUGGUCAGCCAUUUGGGGCCUCGUCCUGAAGACCAGGUGUAAGUAGGCUGUCUUACGCACUAAACGAAGGAAGCCCUUGCACUGAGAGGCCAUACACGCACAAGCAGGCCCACGCAUACGCGAGGUCAGCAUGCCAUACACACAGACACUCCUAGUGUGUGUGUGUGUGCGUGUGCGAGGAGCCCAGUUUGCACGCCGCAGAUUAUGCCUACAAGGCCCGC
rnacentral:lncRNA from 1 species